UUUCCGUAGGUGAACCUGCGGAAGGAUCAUUACAGAGUUCAUGCCCUUCGGGGUAGAUCUCCCACCCUGUGUAUCUAUACUCUUGUUGCUUUGGCAGGCCGUCCAGGCCUCGCUUGGCUGUGGGCUCCGGCUCACACGCGCCUGCCAGAGGAUAUUACAAUUCUGUGUUUAGUAUCGUCUGAGUAAAUUAUAAUAAGUUAAAACUUUCAACAACGGAUCUCUUGGCUCUAGCAUCGAUGAAGAACGCAGC
rnacentral:misc_RNA from 1 species